GAUGAACGCUGGCGGCGUGCCUAAUACAUGCAAGUCGAGCGAACAGACGAGGAGCUUGCUCCUCUGACGUUAGCGGCGGACGGGUGAGUAACACGUGGAUAACCUACCUAUAAGACUGGGAUAACUUCGGGAAACCGGAGCUAAUACCGGAUAAUAUAUUGAACCGCAUGGUUCAAUAGUGAAAGACGGUUUUGCUGUCACUUAUAGAUGGAUCCGCGCCGCAUUAGCUAGUUGGUAAGGUAACGGCUUACCAAGGCAACGAUGCGUAGCCGACCUGAGAGGGUGAUCGGCCAUACUGGAACUGAGACACGGUCCAGACUCCUACGGGAGGCAGCAGUAGGGAAUCUUCCGCAAUGGGCGAAAGCCUGACGGAGCAACGCCGCGUGAGUGAUGAAGGUCUUCGGACCGUAAAACUCUGUUAUUAGGGAAGAACAAAUGUGUAAGUAACUAUGCACGUCUUGACGGUACCUAAUCAGAAAGCCACGGCUAACUACGUG
rnacentral:rRNA from 1 species